rnacentral:lncRNA from 1 species
AUCCACUUUCUCAGGCAGGGACUAUAGGAAAUGAAGGUGAACUCGUGGAGAUUUUGGAGAGAAUUUAAUGAAGAGGCUGUUUACCAAGGAUCUCUCUCUGUCUCCGAGGCUGGAGUGCAAUGUUGCAAUCAGGGCUCACUGCAGCCUCGACCUCCUGGGCUCAACUGAUCUUCGUACCACAGCCUCAUGAGUAACUGGGACUACAGACGACCAUGGGCAUUUUUUCUAUGCAACUACAGAUAGUAUCUCAUGAUAUGAAUGGUCCUGGAUUUACUUACACAUCCUCCUUUGGAUGAGCAAAAAGUAAAUUUUUCACAGUGAUAGACAUUUGUAGUGCUUUUUAAAGGCACUGGUUCUGGUGGACACUGAGAGACAAUUUUUAUUUGCUGCACGUGGAAAGGACAACAACAUACCUGGACAGAAAUGCCUCGAGGAUGUACUGAAGGCCCCUCUCACUUUUCACAGCCAUAACUGUAAGUUUCCUGGGGCCUCUCCAGAAGACAAGCAGAUGCCGCUAUGCUUCCUGAACAGCCCACAGAACUCUCCCAGUUGUGGGCAGAGUCUGGUUAAGGUACAGCCUUGGAAUUAU